rnacentral:misc_RNA from 1 species
GUAUUAAAUCAAAUCAACAAUCGCAUAAAGCUUGCUUAAUUGUCUAUUAAGAUGCAACACAGAUGUAUUAUUACCAUAAUCAUUAUUUAGAGCACUCAACUAACCUCGUAUAGAUAAAUCAAGAGCAAGCAUAACGUACGAGAAUACGACGCUGAAUGGGGCUUCUACAAGAAGGGCAAUCCUUCAUCCCUUGUUUCUCAUGGAGCUCAUUACAUGU